rnacentral:rRNA from 1 species
UACAGAGGGUGCGAGCGUUAAUCGGAAUUACUGGGCGUAAAGCGCACGUAGGUGGCGACGUAUGUCGGGUGGGAAAGCCCCGGGCUCAACCUGGGAACUGCAUCCGAAACUGCGUUGCUGGAGUACGGAAGAGGAAGGCGGAAUUCCCGGUGUAGCGGUGAAAUGCGUAGAUAUCGGGAGGAACAUCAGUGGCGAAGGCGGCCUUCUGGUCCAGUACUGACACUCAAGUGCGAAAGCGUGGGGAGCAAACAGG